UACGGAGGAUGCAAGCGUUAUCCGGAUUCAUUGGGUUUAAAGGGUGCGUAGGCGGGUUUGUAAGUCAGUGGUGAAAUCUUGCCGCUUAACGGUAAAAUUGCCAUUGAUACUGCAGAUCUUGAAUAUGGAUGAGGUAGGCGGAAUGUGUAGUGUAGCGGUGAAAUGCAUAGAUAUUACACAGAACACCGAUUGCGAAGGCGGCUACCUGGCCGGUAACUGACGCUGAGGUGCGAGAGCGUGGGGAGCAAACAGG
rnacentral:rRNA from 1 species